GAUGAACGCUAGCGGCAGGCUUAAUACAUGCAAGUCGAGGGGCAGCACGGUUAGCAAUAACUGGUGGCGACCGGCGCACGGGUGCGUAACACGUAUACAAUCUACCUUAAACAGGGGAUAGCCUUUCGAAAGAGAGAUUAAUACCCCGUAAUAAAUUGAACGGCAUCGUUUGAUUUUGAAAGCUCCGGCGGUUUGAGAUGAGUAUGCGUCUGAUUAGCUAGUUGGUGAGGUAACGGCUCACCAAGGCGACGAUCAGUAGGGGAUCUGAGAGGACUAACCCCCACACUGGUACUGAGACACGGACCAGACUCCUACGGGAGGCAGCAGUAAGGAAUAUUGGUCAAUGGAGGCAACUCUGAACCAGCCAUGCCGCGUGCAGGAUGACGGCCCUAUGGGUUGUAAACUGCUUU
rnacentral:rRNA from 1 species